GACGAACGCUGGCGGCGUGCUUAACACAUGCAAGUCGAACGGAAAGGCCCUGCUUUUGUGGGGUGCUCGAGUGGCGAACGGGUGAGUAACACGUGAGUAACCUGCCCUUGACUAUGGGAUCACUUCAGGAAACUGGGGCUAAUACCGGAUAGGAGCUCCCGCUGCAUGGUGGGGGUUGGAAAGUUUCGGCGGUUGGGGAUGGACUCGCGGCUUAUCAGCUUGUUGGUGGGGUAGUGGCUUACCAAGGCGUUGACGGGUAGCCGACCUGAGAGGGUGACCGGCCUCAUUGGGACUGGGAGACGGCCCAGACUCCUACCGGAGGCAGCAGUGGGGAAUAUUGCCCUAGGGGCGGAAGCCAGAUGCAGCAACGCCGCGUGAGGGAUGACGCUCUUCGGGUUGUAAUCGGCUUGCGCCUGUGACGAAGCGUGAGUGACGGUAAUGGGUAAAGAAGCACCGGCUAACUACGUG
rnacentral:rRNA from 1 species